rnacentral:lncRNA from 1 species
AUCCAGAAUAUCAACCCCAAUUUGAAUAAGGUGACCUUCAACAAAAAUAUAAAGAGUCCUCAACCAAUGAUCCCUAAUGCUAGCAAGAGAGGAGGAAGAAUUCCCAAAAGCUUUCUGAUUUCUCUGCCUUCAUAUGACCCAAAAAUAGACAGGGAAUGAUUGAGGUGAUCUUCUAUCUGGACAUGGAAGCCCCAAUAACAUUCUCUCAUGCCCAAGGUUCACCUUUGAAAUUCCUACUUCUGAUUUUUUUAUUAGUUUAAUAUUCAUGAUCGUUUGAAUUUGAGUUACCUUAAUUCAAGAAAUUCAAGAUAGGGGGAGAUAACUCAAAGACAAUAAAUCAUAUUCUAAUUAGAAUUAGAGAUUAGCCAGUAGUUAAUGGAAAAUGAAGCAAACAAUACCAUAUAUGUAUUCUCACAAAGAAAAAUUGCAGAAUAAAGUUUUACCUGUAAAAAUUGAAACCCAGUAAUUAAUCCACGUGCAUCAAUGUUCUUAUAUGUUAUAUGCUGCAGAUCAAGAAUGCCAAUCAAUUUUUCAUUUCCUAUUUCUCUUCCUUUAAAGGAGCUGAAAUAGGCAACAACAAACACCUCAUUUAAGAUGAACCCGUAUCUCUUUACCAUAAAGCAUACCUAGACAAAAUAAGUAGGCAGAUGUCAAGAAGAUCCCAGUUUAUUAAGAUCACUGGAUCAUCUCUUGGAUUAUUCACCAAGAAUGUAAAACUUUUCAAAGCAAUCCAUCUAGUUUUCCAAUAUGACCCUCUAGUUUGCGAAGGAAAAUUUUUGGCUCCUGAUCCCUCCCUACCUUUUCAAACACUAUAUCUCUGAGCCUGCAACUGCAUUCAAGCAGAUGUUCAUUCAUUCGUAAGAUUCUGAAGCAUUACCUGGUCAUUUUCCUCUUCCAGUAAAUUCCAAGGCCCCUCUUUUGCCUUUUCAUUUCUUUGAUACAUAAGUUAAGCUUCAAAAUUUUUUUGGAUAUCCCAUCCUCAUCAUUCAAAGAUUACAAUCACCAUUAUAUUGAUUUGACAUAGAUACAAGAUAUGGAGUCACUCAGAAGGUGCAAAUAGUUGACAAGGGUCAUUGCCAGGGCAGAAUUAAAGACUUCGAAAUUGUUUUGGUUAACCUAUUGGGCUUUUGCUUACGUUUCUUUUCUUUUAUCUUUCAGUCAUAAAUUAUGCCC